GAUGUGCUUGAUUUUACGCCU
rnacentral:siRNA from 1 species